UAAAGUUUGCAAUGGGGGACCUUGAUCUUGUGUAUACAAUGCCUGGUAUGAAGGAUUAUAUUCACAACGGUGGGUUCAAAAGGGAUGUGCCCUUCCUUGAAGAAGCUCUUGCCAUCAAUGGAGUUUCUCAUUGGAUCCACCAAGAAAUACCUGAUCAAAUCAAUCAAUUAUUGUUCGACUUCUUCUCCAAGUUCCAUUAAAUUUUAAUAAUAAUAACAAAAUACAAAUUUAGUAAAAAUAGAAAAAAAAAAGAAAAAGAAGAAGAAGAAAACAUGUUCUUCGUUUGUUGUUUUUAAUUUUUAAGUCCAAAGGUUGAUUCAAAAUUUGAGAGGAUUAAAAAAAAUAUUAGAUGCAAAAAAUAGGUUUGGAUAAAAAUAUUAGUUUUGUUUAAAAUAUAAAUCAGGUUUAGGCUUGAUCUUUCAAUGUUUGAGCUCGACUUGAUUAUUAAGGUUAUAAUAUAUUGUUACUUUUAUAUAUGAUGUAAUAUAGUUAUCUACAAAUAUAGACGAACUUGAAUAAGAUUUUAAGUUUAUAUUUCGAGUUCGAUUAAACUUAAACAAGUAUAAAUUAUAUUAAUAUUACAUUUUAAAUUCAGCCUAACUUAUAACACUUUUGUUUCAAUUAUUGUUUUUUUAGUGAAAUUAUUAUUAUUUUGUUGAAAAUAAAGAGUAUUUUAACAGAAUUUAUUUUAUCAUUUAAAUAAUAUGACAGUAUUCACAUGAUAAUAUACGUUUAUGUUAAUAAAAUUAAUAAAUAUUAAUUUUUUAUUUAUUUUAGAUGAUUUGACAAAUAACAUAAAUUAAGAACUAAAAAAGGGAAAGAGCUAAACCAAUAAAAUCGAGAUCACGAUGUAUCAUAUUUAUUAUUUUGAUAGUAGGACAAGCAUUUAAGAUAACAUGAUAAGAUGAUGAACUGUUUAAAACAUGUGAGACCCACCAAUUAGCAGCAACUUCCGCCCGUGUGUUGUUGAUUUGCAAUAAGCGUUUGCCAUUUUGAAGACGAAAACUAACCGUCUUGAUGCAGUUGCGUAGCUUGACAAUGUUUUAUUUGGGUCGACAAGGGAGCAGGCCGUUCCAUAACCAUAAUCAUAAUCUCCUUUCCUGCAUGAUACGUGGAUGUUGUUUUAAUUAGAUUGAUUAGAUCAAGAAUAGAUUAAAGUAUUAAUUUAGAAAAUGAUUUUAAAUCGAUUAAAUUAGGAAUCGGCAUGAGUCAGUCUAAUUGAAUUUUUUAAAACUUUUAAUUUGAAUUUGAAUUGACGAAUCGAUGACUUGACCAAUUUUACAUAGAUCUGUCCAUUGGUUGGACGGAGUCUUGAAAAAAUUUUGGACUGUUAGAUAGAUCCAGGCUUGGCCUGACUUGACUCAAAAAAUAGAUUUAAAAUUUUAUCGAAAGCCGACCUAGAUAAAAAUAUUAAAAUUCAGAUUCAGUCUGGCCCGACUCGUAUUAAAUUUUUAAAAAUAUAUAAUAUAUCAACAACACUAAAAAUAUUAAAAUAAAUAUUUCUUAACAAUUUGAAAAUAAAUUUAAAACACUUUAUACUUAAAUAACUGUAAGAUAAGUACAACUUAAUAAGUAAAUGUCUCUAAAAUAAUAGUAAAAUUAAAAUAAAAUAAGAGUUAUAUAAUGUCCAAACAACAACAACAAAAUAAUAACAUAAUAUUGAAAUGAUAGCACAACAAUAAAAAAAUAGCAAAAAAAGUAGUGAAAAAACAAGAAAACAGUAGAUCAUUUUUUCUUUUUGCAAAUUCGGGUUGGGCCGAGAUAAAAAUUGUCUUACCAGAAGCCCAGUUUAUUUUCUAAACAAAUCAUAUUUUUUUAUCUAAACUUAUUUUUUGAACUUAUAAAAAAAACGGUUUAAAAAACAUUGAUAUCGCAAUUUAAAACAACAUUAGGUCUAUUAUUAUAUAUAACGAAAAGCUUAAGCUUAAGCUUAAGCUUAAGAAAGUGAUAAGACAUUAAAGAAGAGAUGAAAAGUAUGGAGGGAAUUCAACACAAAACAGUGAGCGUCAAUGGCAUCAACAUGCACAUAGCCGAGAAAGGGGAAGGUCCUUUGAUUCUCUUCAUCCAUGGCUUCCCUGAGCUCUGGUAUACAUGGCGCCACCAGAUCAACGGUUUAUCUGCCCUUGGCUACCGUGCUUUGGCGCCCGACCUCCGUGGUUACGGUGGAACCGAUGCGCCGGAUUGCGUCGCCGACUACACUUGCUUCCACGUGGUGGGAGACCUCAUCGCGCUUCUGGACACUGAGGCGCCGCAGGAUAAGGUGUUUGUCGUAGGGCACGAUUGGGGUGCCAUCAUUGCUUGGUUCUUGUGCUUGUUUAGGCCGGACCGGGUUAAAGCUUUGUUCAAUUUGAGUGCGCCGUUUAUUCCUUGCGAUCCUCGGUUUAAACCAGUCGAGACUUUGGAAGUUCUCCUUGGGAAGGAUUAUUAUAUCGUUCGGUUUCAGGUUUGAAUAUUUUAUCUUUUUUCCUUUUAUUUUUAAUCAAUUUCGGUAAAAAUACCGUGGAAGCCAUUGAACUAAAUGUCAAAUCGCAUUUAACACUUUCUAUAAAAAAAUAAGUAAAUUAGUCUCUAUAUAUUAAAUUAAAGAGUAAAUUGAAUUUUUUUAAUUAAUUUAUUUUUACUAUUAAAAACUGAAAUAUUUUAAUUAAUACAAUAUUGAUAUUUUGAAAACUUAAAUAUGCAUAUGAAACUUUGAUUGUAGUUUCAGUGUACACAUGAAAUUUUGAUAGUGAUUCCUCUGCACACAUCUAAAAAAAAGCAUAAUAACUUAUUUAACCCCCAAGUUUAUAAAAAAAAAUCAUUUUAACCUUUCAUCUAAUUUUUCACUUAUUUUAACUCUUAAAUUUGUGAUGUUUGUCAAAUCACCCAAAACAGAUGAAAAAGUUAAUAUCUGUUAAUUAUGUUAACAUGGCAUACAUGUGGAUGGCAAGUUAGCAAUUAAAUAAAAUUUUAAAUAUAACAAAUUUAGAAAAGAUAUAAAUAUUUUUUUAAUAUUUUACCCAAAUCAAUCUACAUUUGUAAAAUGAGUAACUCGAACUCAUUUUAGACCUGCUCAUUUUUUUAAAAAAUAUUAAAAAUAUUAAUAUUAUUUUAAGUUUAAUAUUUAAUAAUUAUAUAUAUUUCUUUUAUUAAAAUUAUAUAUAUCUUAAUAUUUUUUAAUAUUUACAUUAUAAUAUUAUAUAUCACUUUAAAUAUUUUUUUAUUAUAAAUUAUAAAAUAUAUAAAAGAUUAAAAGAAUAACAUAACAUAAUAUAUUAGAAAAUUCAAAAAUGGGCUAGGUUGGACUAAACCUAGGUCUUAAAUGUUCAAGUUCGAAUCUUACCAAUAUUUUAAACGGGUCUUUUUUUUUUUGUCAAAUCUCAUUUUUCAGGCUUAAUAUUUUUACUAAAACCCUUUCAAAAUUCGAACGAACUUUUGAACUUGGACAGAUAGCUCAUCCCAUGAACAAAUUUAAUUUUAAGUUAAAUUGGAUUUUUGAGUUUAAGAUUGGACUAAUUUGAAUGGUUAACUUUUUAUGUUAAACCAAAUUUGGUCUAGCUUGAAUUUAAGUUUAUCGGAUUGAGUUCUCAAAUUCGAGUCAUAAUCGAGAGGGUAAAACAGUAAAUUUGGUGCAGGAACCUGGAGAAAUAGAGGCGGAAUUUGCAGAGAUUAGUCUAAGACAAGCAGUUUUGGAGCUGUUAUCAUACCGGAUACCCGACCCACUUUAUUUACCAAAGGAAAAUCUAUUCGGGCAUCCACUGGAUUGCCCGGUAAACUUGCCGCCAUGGUUGUCGGACCAAGACGCCGAUUACUACGCUAACCAGUUCCAGGAAACCGGCAUUACCGGUGCCUCAAUUAUUACCGCAACAUAGAUACAUAUGUUUUUCUUCCCGCUACCAGUCACCUAAUAAAUUUAUUUGCUUCCUUAAUUAUGAAAAGUUAUAAAAUGAUUAUUUAAUUAUUUGUAAAUUUUUUUAGUCACUUAAUUAUGAAAAGUCAUAAAUUUGUCACUCAACUAUUCCAAUUUGUCUUCUUCUUUUUUUGUCAACUAUCUUGGAUUUCUAGGUGUUUCCAUUUUUACGUUAAUCAGUCGAAGACCAAAAAAGACAAAAUUAAAUAACUAUGAGAUAAUUUUAUAACUUUUCAUAGUUGGAUGAUCAAAAGGAAAAAAAAUAGUUGGGUGACUACUAAUGUAGAUUACCCAAUUAUUAAUUAUGGGUUUUUCAUGUUAGUUAAAAUACGCUCUAAGUCCCUUUACUUUUUGUAAAUUUAAAAUUCAAUCCUUUAUUUCAAAUUUAAAAAUACAAGUUUAAUUAUUAAUACUGUUAAAAAUUUUCGAUUAAAUUCAUAUUCAUUACAGUGUCAUUUUUUUUAUAAUUAACUAAAUUCAUUUAUUUUUGGUUGGUUCUGUUAUAGCGACUGGGAACUAUUAGCACCAUGGUGGAAAAGCCAGAUCCAGGUCCCUGUAAAGUUUGCAAUGGGGGACCAUGAUCUCGUAUAUACAAUGCCAGGUGUCAAAGAUUAUAUUCACAACGGUGGGUUUAAAAGGAAUGUGCCCUUUCUUGAAGAAGCUCUUGUCAUCAAUGGAGUUUCUCAUUGGAUCAAUGAGGAAAUACCUGAUCAAAUCAAUCAAUUAUUGUUCGAUUUCUUCUCCAAGUUCAAUUAAAAUUAAAUAACAAUAUCCAAUUUAGUAAAAAUAAAAAGGUCUUACCUUUGUUGUUGUGUUUAUCUUUCUCGAUAAUCGAAAAAGUUUACGUUAAGACUUAUUUCGAGCAGUGAUUAGAAUUAUUGAAAGAAUUUAUUAUUUCAAAUUAGGCAUGUUCAUGGGUUAGUAGUUUGAGGAUUCAUUCGAAAUUUGAGAGGGUUUGAGAAAAAUAUUAGACUUGAUAAAUAUACUUGAGCAAAAAUAUUAGGCAUGUUUAAAAUAAAAGUCGGGUUUGGGCUCAAACAUUCAAGGCUUGAGUUCGGCUUGGCCUGACCCGUUUUCUAAGAUUGUAAUAUAUGUUGCACUAUGUUAUUUUUAUAUAUGAUGUAAUUUAUAACACGUAAAAAGUAAAUCUACAAUAAUAAAGUAUAAUACUGUG
rnacentral:lncRNA from 1 species